UACGUAGGGGGCAAGCGUUGUCCGGAAUCAUUGGGCGUAAAGCGCGUGUAGGCGGCCCGGUAAGUCCGCUGUGAAAGUCGGGGGCUCAACCCUCGAAUGCCGGUGGAUACUGUCGGGCUAGAGUGCGGGAGAGGCGAGUGGAAUUCCCGGUGUAGCGGUGAAAUGCGCAGAUAUCGGGAGGAACACCAAUGGCGAAGGCAGCUCGCUGGGACGGUACUGACGCUGAGACGCGAAAGCGUGGGGAGCAAACAGG
rnacentral:rRNA from 1 species